rnacentral:rRNA from 1 species
AGCGAACGCUGGCGGCAAGCUUAACACAUGCAAGUCGAACGAUGUAGCAAUACAUAGUGGCGGACGGGUGCGUAACACGUGGGAAUCUGCCUUUAGGUGGGGGAUAACUCAGGGAAACUUGAGCUAAUACCGCAUGAUAUCUUCGGAUCAAAGAUUUAUCGCCUAAAGAUGAGCCCGCGGCAGAUUAGCUAGUUGGUGGGGUAAUGGCCUACCAAGGCAACGAUCUGUAGCUGGUCUGAGAGGAUGACCAGCCACACUGGGACUGAGAAACGGCCCAGACUCCUACGGGAGGGAGCAGUGGGGAAUAUUGGGCAAUGGGCGCAAGCCUGACCCAGCUAUGCCGCGUGAAUGAUGAAGGCCUUAGGGUUGUAAAGUUCUUUUACCAGGGACGAUAAUGACGGUACCUGGAGAAAAAGCUCCGGCUAACUUCGUGCCAGCCGCCGCCGUAA